GACGUAGGGGGCGAACGUUAUCCGGAAUUAUUGGGCGUAAAGGAUGCGUAGAUGGUGUAGUAAGUUAUCGGUGGCAAAUCGAGGCUCAACCUCGUGGAAGUCAGUAAUACUGCUAUGCUAGAGGAUAGGAGAGGUUAACGGAACUCCCUGUGGAGCGGUGAAAUGCGUAGAUAUAGGGAAGAACACCAAUAAGGCGAAGGCAGUUAACUAUUCUACUCCUGACAUUGAGGCAUGAAAGCGUGGGGAGCAAAACGG
rnacentral:rRNA from 1 species